UACAGAAGCCCCGAGCAUUACCCGGAUUUACUGGGCGUAAAGGGUGCGUAGGCGGUUAUAUUAGUCGGGUGUUAAAUCCUGAGGCUCAACCUCAGGCUCGCAUUCGAAACGGUAUAACUAGAAGGAGUGAGAGGUGUGUGGAACUCACGGUGUAGGAGUGAAAUCCGUUGAUAUCGUGGGGAACACCAAAUGCGAAGGCAGCACACUGGCACUUUCUUGACGCUGAGGCACGAAAGCGUGGGUAGCGAAC
rnacentral:rRNA from 1 species